rnacentral:tRNA from 1 species
UAUAUAUAAGUGUAAUUUGCACAGAAAAUUUUGAGUUUUCCAGUUAUGAUUAAUAUCAUAAUAUAUAA